AUUGAACGCUGGCGGCAGGCCUAACACAUGCAAGUCGAGCGGAGCGGCGGACGGGUGAGUAAUGCCUAGGAAUCUGACUGGUAGUGGGGGAUAACGUCCGGAAACGGGCGCUUAUACCGCUUACUAUCAGAUGCGCCUAGGUCGGAUUAGCUAGUUGGUGGGGUAAAGGCCUACCAAGGCGACGCUCCGUAACUGGUCUGAGAGGAUGAUCAGUCAGACUGGAACUGAGACAGGGUCCAGACUCCUACGGGAGGCAGCAGUGGGGAAUAGUGGACAAUGGGCGAAAGCCUGAUACAGCCAUGCCGCGUGUGUGAAGAAGGUCUUCGGAUUGUAAAGCACAUUAAGUUGGGAGGCGUUACCAACAGAAUAAGCACCGGCUAACUUCGUGCCAGCAGCCGCGGUAAUAC
rnacentral:rRNA from 1 species